rnacentral:rRNA from 1 species
AUGGCUUGGGAUCCCUCUUUUCUUUCCCUUGUAUCUCGUUCGGAUGCCCAAUUCUCCCUUACCACUUCGUUCUCCUCUACGUCUUCCGACCUCGCCCUCUCGGUCACGAAUGUUUACGCCCCCUCCGAUCACUCGCUCACCCAAGCUUUCAUCGACGAAACGAUGGCCCUCUCGGCGACAAUUUCCGGAGCCUGGCUUGCUCUUGGAGACUUUAACCUCAUUCGGUACCCACACGAGAAGAACAAUGCCAACUUUUGCGCCCCCCUUGCGUCUCGCUUCAUUGCCUUGAUCAACGCCCUCUCAUUCGUCGAGCUUCCCCUCGCCGACCGCUUGUAUACUUGGACGAACAGG